rnacentral:rRNA from 1 species
UAUUGGAUUGUUGUUACCGAUUGUUCAGGUUUGGUAGGAGCCGAAGAGACGUGUGCGCUAGCUUACGUGGAGGCAAUGGUGGGAUACUUCCCUGGCUGUAUGACCUUUCUAACCCGCCACGCUUUGCGCGUGGGGAGACUGUGUCAGGUGGGCUGUUUGACUGGGGCGGUCGCCUCCUAUAGAGUUACGGAGGCGCCCAAUGGUUCCCUCUGUAUGGAUGGAAAUCAUUCGCAGAGUGUAAAGG